GUCUGAGGCCAUAGGAUCCUAAACACACCUGAUCUCGUCUGAUCUUGAAAGCUAAGUAGGGUCGGGCCUGGUUAGUACUUGGACAGAUCUUCAGAAGAGACUGCUCAGAGA
rnacentral:rRNA from 1 species